UACGUAGGGUGCGAGCGUUAAUCGGAAUUACUGGGCGUAAAGCGUGCGCAGGCGGUUCGCCGUGUCCGAUGUGAAAGCCCCCGGGCUUAACCUGGGAAUGGCAUUGGAAACUGGCGGGCUUGAGUGUGGCAGAGGGGGGUGGAAUUCCACGUGUAGCAGUGAAAUGCGUAGAGAUGUGGAGGAACACCGAUGGCGAAGGCAGCCCCCCUGGGCCAACACUGACGCUCAGGCACGAAAGCGUGGGGAGCAAACAGG
rnacentral:rRNA from 1 species